GAUGAACGCUGGCGGCGUGCCUAAUACAUGCAAGUCGAGCGAACAGACGAGGAGCUUGCUCCUCUGACGUUAGCGGCGGACGGGUGAGUAACACGUGGAUAACCUACCUAUAAGACUGGGAUAACUUCGGGAAACCGGAGCUAAUACCGGAUAAUAUAUUGAACCGCAUGGUUCAAUAGUGAAAGACGGUUUUGCUGUCACUUAUAGAUGGAUCCGCGCCGCAUUAGCUAGUUGGUAAGGUAACGGCUUACCAAGGCAACGAUGCGUAGCCGACCUGAGAGGGUGAUCGGCCACACUGGAACUGAGACACGGUCCAGACUCCUACGGGAGGCGGCAGUAGGGAAUCUUCCGCAAUGGGCGAAAGCCUGACGGAGCAACGCCGCGUGAGUGAUGAAGGUCUUCGGAUCGUAAAACUCUGUUAUUAGGGAAGAACAAAUGUGUAAGUAACUAUGCACGUCUUGACGGUACCUAAUCAGAAAGCCGCGGCUAACUACGUG
rnacentral:rRNA from 1 species